rnacentral:lncRNA from 1 species
AUAAUCAAGUAAAUUGCAUAUAUAAGAUAUCUUCACCUUUUCGUGACUUCAUAGCUUGUGAGUUUGAAAGAUGAUGACUACUAGAUGCCAGUGAUGGAAAACCCUUGAUGAAAGGGCUUUGCUCACAGCCUUUUAUUAAGAAAAUAUAACUAAGGUUAUUAUAAAAAUGCUGAUUUGGGUAGCAUAGGUAAUGUUUUGUUUAAAUACUUAUCAAAAAUGCUACUUGUCCCUUAAACUUUUGCACAGGCAAGCUGCUGGAAUGCAGAUGGUGGAGGGCUUUUGGAGUAAGGAUUACGUAGGAUACAGUAGUUGUGGCUGUUUGGAGUCCAUAGUUUCCAUAGAUUCCAGUUCUGUGUCUGUGCCGGCGUUGCGUGCCUACAUUUCAUGCACUCUGCUUUCGGCAGUGGAGCAGUUAAAGAAGCCAGAAAAUUAGGAGUCUCUGGGCCCAUUAACAUCGCGAUCAUUUAGAUUAGCAAGGCAGUUUGGGAACUGUGUGGAGAGGACAGCUUCAACACCUGCGGGUGCUGGAGAGCAACAACCUGUUCUUUGUUCAACUGCUUGUUAACGAAGAGUCCGGUUCUGCUUGUGUGGACCCGAGAUGGAUGCUGCGCUCCUGCAAGGCGUGUGGGCAUCCUUGAACGCUCCUUGCAGGGCCAAGGUUUCCAUUCAGUCUGGAAGUCGGCAAGGAAACGAGCAGUUCUUUCAGAGAAGCAGCUUGCUGAAUUUCUGGUUAUUUGGCUCUUUCUCCCAAAUGAUCCUGAGCAGCAUAUGCAGUGUUUGCAUCCGGGACACAAGCAGGUCCUACAGGACUUCAGUUGCUCUGCUGAGGCACAUAACUGAUCUGAGCCUUUCGUCUGUUGGGAAAGAGGAGUAGAAGCUGCAGGAUUCUGGACGGUUCUCAUUGCUCACCAUGUUCCUCUUAUUCUGCAGCACAAGUGGGGGCUGUGGAGGUAAGGAACUGCUUAGUGCUGAAGUUGGGGGAUAUUAGUGCCAUAGAUGCAAUAUAUAGAUUUUUCAUUUGCGACUGUGGCACUGCCUAACGGCUGCCUCUGCUGAUAGCAUCUGAAGAUACAAAAAAGGAGCAGCAUCUCCAACACGCUGCAGAGUUGUACAAGCACGACCAUGCAGCUACCACUGACGGGUGUGUGGCAGAAGGACAGAAGAUGCUAAGAAGCUCCAAGUGCCUGUCCUGCAGUGAGAGCCCUGGCAAACACGCGUCUAGUGAGCCAGAGUACACCUAAUAUGUGUGGCAGCUUCAACGUUUACUGUUGUGUGCUCAGUUCUCUUUGAAAUGCUUUAUUAAAAAAAAUAAGUGAAUCUCCAAGGUUUGAGGCUGCAAAGAACAGGUUUAUGAAGGCAUUUCUUCUUCUAUUUCAACCGAGAGGGCAGAGGCUUGGGCGCUUUUUUGUUUGUUUGUAAUAUGGUUGGUCCCCUCCGGCUGAGUAAGGCACGUACAUACCUCUGCACUGCUAGAAAAAGAUACAGGCAUUUUCAAAAAUAUUUUUUCCAUUAUGUAUCGGUUCAUGUCUGCAGUUUUUCCUUAGCUGUUCCGAGUCUAUAUGCAAAGCGGAUAUUGUGAGGAAUUUGUUGGCAGAAUGCAAAUACUGUUAGUUCUGUUUAAAUCAAAAGAACACUUCUGCAGACUAUGCUUUUUAUCAAAAGGCAUAAACUGCAUUGUACGCAAAGAAUUCCAAAGCCCCAAAUUCUUAUCCCAGAAUAGGUUUAAAUGCAAGAUAGUCAGCAAGGGAUGCUUAGCAGAAACUGUAUUCCUCAAAGCUAAAAUUCUAUAUAAAAGGAAAACUUAAUCCUUG